rnacentral:rRNA from 1 species
GACGAACGCUGGCGGCGUGCUUAACACAUGCAAGUCGAACGGAAAGGCCCCUUUGGGGGUACUCGAGUGGCGAACGGGUGAGUAACACGUGAGUAACCUGCCCUUGACUUCGGGAUAACUUCAGGAAACUGGGGCUAAUACCGGAUAGGAAUCCUUGCUGCAUGGUGGGGGUUGGAAAGCUUCGGCGGUUUUGGAUGGACUCGCGGCUUAUCAGCUUGUUGGUGGGGUAGUGGCUUACCAAGGCUUUGACGGGUAGCCGGCCUGAGAGGGCGACCGGCCACAUUGGGACUGAGAUACGGCAGAGACUCCUACGGGAGGCAGCAGUGGGGAAUAUUGCACAAUGGGCGGAAGGCUGAUGCAGCAACGCCGCGUGCGGGAUGACGGGCUUCGGGUUGUAAACCGAUUUCAGCAGGGGCGAAGCUUGUGGUGACGGUACCUGCAGAAGAAGCACCGGCUAACUACGUG